AUAGUACUCCCUCCGGUUCAUAUUACUUGUCUUCGAUUUGUCUAGAUACGAAUGUAAUUAGACAUGUUUUAGUGUUAGAUAUAUCCGUAUCUAAACAAAUCUGAGACAAGUAAUUAGAAUCGGAGGGAGUAGGUG
rfam:Hordeum vulgare subsp. vulgare, WGS project CAJW01000000 data, contig: morex_contig_1600879